GACGAACGCUGGCGGCGUGCCUAAUACAUGCAAGUAGAACGCACAGUUUAUACCGUAGCUUGCUACACCAUAGACUGUGAGUUGCGAACGGGUGAGUAACGCGUAGGUAACCUGCCUGGUAGCGGGGGAUAACUAUUGGAAACGAUAGCUAAUACCGCAUAAUAUUAAUUAUUGCAUGAUAAUUAAUUGAAAGGUGCAAUUGCACCACUACCAGAUGGACCUGCGUUGUAUUAGCUAGUAGGGGAGGUAACGGCUCACCUAGGCGACGAUACAUAGCCGACCUGAGAGGGUGAUCGGCCACACUGGGACUGAGACACGGCCCAGACUCCUACGGGAGGCAGCAGUAGGGAAUCUUCGGCAAUGGACGAAAGUCUGACCGAGAAACGCCGCGUGAGUGAAGAAGGUUUUCGGAUCGUAAAGCUCUGUUGUAAGAGAAGAACGGGUGUGAGAGUGGAAAGUUCACACUGUGACGGUAUCUUACCAGAAAGGGACGGCUAACUACGU
rnacentral:rRNA from 1 species